GAUGAACGCUGGCGGCGUGCUUAACACAUGCAAGUCGAACGGUGAAGCAGGAGCUUGCUCUUGUGGAUCAGUGGCGAACGGGUGAGUAACACGCGAGCAACCUGCCCCUGACUCUGGGAUAAGCGCUGGAAACGGCGUCUAAUACUGGAUAUGUGAUGUGACCGCAUGGUCUGCAUCUGGAAAGAAUUUCGGUUGGGGAUGGGCUCGCGGCCUAUCAGCUUGUUGGUGAGGUAAUGGCUCACCAAGGCGUCGACGGGUAGCCGGCCUGAGAGGGUGACCGGCCACACUGGGACUGAGACACGGCCCAGACUCCUACGGGAGGCAGCAGUGGAGAAUAUUGCACAAUGGGCGGAAGCCUGAUGCAGCAACGCCGCGUGAAGGAUGACGGCCUUCGGGUUGUAAACCUCUUUUAGCAGGGAAGAAGCGAAAGUGACGGUACCUGCAGAAAAAGCACCGGCUAACUACGUGCCAGCCGCCGCCGUAA
rnacentral:rRNA from 1 species